AGUGAACGCUGGCGGUAGGCCUAACACAUGCAAGUCGAACGACAGCACAGAGGAGCUUGCUCCUUGGGUGGCGAGUGGCGGACGGGUGAGGAAUACAUCGGAAUCUACUCUGUCGUGGGGGAUAACGUAGGGAAACUUACGCUAAUACCGCAUACGACCUACGGGUGAAAGCAGGGGAUCUUCGGACCUUGCGCGAUUGAAUGAGCCGAUGUCGGAUUAGCUAGUUGGCGGGGUAAAGGCCCACCAAGGCGACGAUCCGUAGCUGGUCUGAGAGGAUGAUCAGCCACACUGGAACUGAGACACGGUCCAGACUCCUACGGGAGGCAGCAGUGGGGAAUAUUGGACAAUGGGCGCAAGCCUGAUCCAGCCAUACCGCGUGGGCGAAGAAGGCCUUCGGGUUGUAAACCCCUUUUGUUGGGAAAGAAAUCCAUCUGGUUAAUACCCGGGUGGGAUGACGGUACCCAAAGAAUAAGCACCGGCUAACUUCGUGCCAGCCGCCGCGGUAA
rnacentral:rRNA from 1 species